GCUCGCAGGCGGUUUCUUAAGUCUGAUGUGAAAGCCCCCGGCUCAACCGGGGAGGGUCAUUGGAAACUGGGAAACUUGAGUGCAGAAGAGGAGAGUGGAAUUCCACGUGUAGCGGUGAAAUGCGUAGAGAUGUGGAGGAACACCAGUGGCGAAGGCGACUCUCUGGUCUGUAACUGACGCUGAGGAGCGAAAGCGUGGGGAGCGAACAGGAUUAGAUACCCUGGUAGUCCACGCCGUAAACGAUGAGUGCUAAGUGUUAGGGGGUUUCCGCCCCUUAUUGCUGCAGCUAACGCAUUAAGCACUCCGCCUGGGGAGUACGGUCGCAAGACUGAAACUCAAAGGAAUUGACGGGGGCCCGCACAAGCGGUGGAGCAUGUGGUUUAAUUCAAAGCAACGCGAAGAACCUUACCAGGUCUUGACAUCCUCUGACAACCCUAAAGAUAGGGCUUUCCCUUCG
rnacentral:rRNA from 1 species